AGGAUCAUUACACAAAUAUGAAGGCGGGCUGGAAUCUCUCGGGGUUACAGCCUUGCUGAAUUAUUCACCCUUGUCUUUUGCGUACUUCUUGUUUCCUUGGUGGGUUCGCCCACCACUAGGACAAACAUAAACCUUUUGUAAUUGCAAUCAGCGUCAGUAACAAAUUAAUAAUUACAACUUUCAACAACGGAUCUCUUGGUUCUGGCAUCGAUGAAGAACGCAGCGAAAUGCGAUAAGUAGUGUGAAUUGCAGAAUUCAGUGAAUCAUCGAAUCUUUGAACGCACAUUGCGCCCUUUGGUAUUCCAAAGGGCAUGCCUGUUCGAGCGUCAUUUGUACCCUCAAGCUUUGCUUGGUGUUGGGCGUCUUGUCUCUAGCUUUGCUGGAGACUCGCCUUAAAGUAAUUGGCAGCCGGCCUACUGGUUUCGGAGCGCAGCACAAGUCGCACUCUCUAUCAGCAAAGGUCUAGCAUCCAUUAAGCCUUUUUUUCAACUUUUGACCUCGGAUCAGGUAGGGAUACCCGCUGAACUUAAGCAUAUCAAUAAGCGGAGGA
rnacentral:rRNA from 1 species